GGCUGGUCCAAUGGUAGUGGAUUAUCAAAACUUAUUAGUAUCACUAAAGUUGGUAUACAAACCCCACUGCUAAAUUUAACUGGCUUUUA
ensembl:Y_RNA Y_RNA Y RNA